AGAGCUUCGCUCCCGUGCCUGUCAAGCCCGAGGUUUGAACUGGGUCCAGAAUUCUGGAUUUACUUUUCAGGAAGGAACAGUACCUGGCUGGGCUGAGCUUUUCCCUUCCCUCCUCCUCGCAGCAGUGCAAACAAUGUGCUUUUGGUGCUUUCCUGCCAGUGGGAAUCUCGCCCUGGAGAAGGAGACAAAACUUUGCUACCUGUGAAACGAAGACAGCUUAGGUAGCAGUGGAAAUGAAAACAAUUCUAUUUCCCUCACAGGCUCCACAAAUGAAUAACUUCAGUGGGAAUUGCUCAUGAAAAAAGAUCAGCUGGAUUCUUCUGGAGCUGGGAGUCAGGGCCAGAAAUCUCCAGGAAAGACCUGCCCAAGGCACAAGAGGAAGAUCUCAGCUCUCCAUCCCACCUGGAGCUUCAGGCAAGGACCAUUCCCCUGCUUGGAGCUUCACUGGUGAGUCCUUACGAGUUCUCACACGCAGAAACUGUCAGCAAAGUUUUAUUUCAUUGAGAUUUGAUGAGAGUUUGGUGCAUCCAUCAGGGUUCUGGUCCCCU